CCUCCUAUAGCUCAGUUGGUAAAGCAUGAGACUCUUACUCUCAGGGUUGUGGGUUCAAGCCCUAUGUUUGGCAGA